UUUUUUUAAAACUUAAAAAAAAUGAUUAUUGAAGUUCAAGAUAUUUAUUCUUGUUUAUACAAUACAUCACACAACUGUAUAAUCUAGAUGGGGGAUUCUAAAUUAUUAAGAGAUACAUUUCUCACACAUAUUAAUUAAACUUGAAAGUGCUUAUAUUUUGUUCUUCAAGUAGCCAUGGUCCUUAGACGUCUCUUGGGUAUGAUAUUCAAAGGCACAAGCUUUCUCAUUAACAUCCCAAUGCAUUCUCUCAUAUCUAAGGUUUCUGGAAUUGACCCUUUGACAAGCUCCCAAUCAAAACAUUGAAUUAAAGAUGCUAGACUAAGGAGAACUAUUCGUUGAGCCAACAACAUUCCUACACAAAUCCGCCUCCCUGAUCCAAAUGGAAUUAGCUCAAA
rnacentral:misc_RNA from 1 species